UCCUGCCCAGUGACAAGUUCAACGGCCGCGGUAUCUUGACCGUGCAAAGGUAGCAUAAUCAUUUGCCUAUUAAUUGUAGGCUAGUAUGAAAGGACAAACGAAAAUAAAGCUGUCUCCUUUAAGCAAGUAAAAAUUUAUAUUCAAGUGAAGAAGCUUGAAUCAUUACGCAGGACAAGAAGACCCUAUAGAGCUUUACUUGAGCAUCUACCUGGAAGAAAACUAAAGUUCGGUUGGGGCGACCAAGGAAAAUAUAACAUCCUUUACACACUANACAAACAAGUCUUCAAAAUGAUCCUGAAUCACAGACCAAAGAAAUCAGCUACCUUAGGGAUAACAGGCUAAUUCCUUUUGAGAGUCCUUAUUGACAAAGGAGGUUGGNACCUCNAUGUUGGCUUANGAUCUCCUCAUGAUGUANCANUCAUGACAAGAUGGNNUGNUCAACCACUAAUAUCCU
rnacentral:rRNA from 1 species